UACGUAGGGGGCUAGCGUUGUUCGGAAUUACUGGGCGUAAAGCGCACGUAGGCGGAUCGAUCAGUCAGGGGUGAAAUCCCAGAGCUCAACUCUGGAACUGCCUUUGAUACUGUCGGUCUAGAGUAUGGAAGAGGUGAGUGGAAUUCCGAGUGUAGAGGUGAAAUUCGUAGAUAUUCGGAGGAACACCAGUGGCGAAGGCGGCUCACUGGUCCAUUACUGACGCUGAGGUGCGAAAGCGUGGGGAGCAAACAGG
rnacentral:rRNA from 1 species